CUCCAUACCAGUUCUCAUCUAUAAGAAGAACAAAACUGCAUCACCUGCAAUAAAGUGGAGGAGCUGAAGAGCGUCACGUGUGGUAAGACGAGGAGGCAUACAGAAAAAUUUUACGCUUCUUUUCCAAACUCCUACUUUCUCCCAGAGACAUACCAAAGUUAGAUGUGGGUGAGAGACUACAUUUUAUCAAAGACGGUCUGAAAAUUUCCAUACCUCUUCUACCUACAUCUCUGUGCGUUGGAAGGAACAUUUCAUGAAAUAUGCAUAUCUGUCAAAUAUCAGGAUGCUAAGAAGCAGUGAUAUUCUUGAAUUUAUCCUUUGCUUCAUUGAAUUACUUAUAACAGUAAUAUGGUGAUAUGAGUGGAAAUGGGAGAGUUUCUUUUCAAUUUUCUUGAAGAAUCUCCAUACUGAUCUUUCAAAUUAUAUCUUCUAGAGAAUACCUGACAAAAGCCAUGCAAGGAAUCAAGGACUGAACUGGGUCACACUUUACCAGUACCGUCCCUCAUGGUGGGGAAGCAGAGAGACUGCUCACAUUGGAUCUGCGCUAAGGAAGCAGACAGCACUGAAUGUUAGCACUAAGCUCAAUUUCCACUUUUUCUUCAGACCAGGAAUUCAGCCCAUAGAAAGGGGCUAAAUCUUCCAGUUACAAUUAACUCCAAAGAGAAACGUUCUCACACUUAUACCCAGAGGUGUCUCUUCUAGGUGAUGCUACACCCUGUCUCUUAAUAAUGUGAAUUUCACCACCACAAGUCCACUCCUUGUCAAAUGGGCACCCAGACAUAUCACCAUUCCUUGGGAGCCUGCAAAAAUAGUGGCAUGUCAGGUAAGGAAGUGUCCUUCCCAAGAUGGGAGUAUUUAUUCAUGUAUGUAUGUAUGCAUGCAUGCACGCACGUAUGUAUAUGGAUAUGCCCUUAUGCAUUAUUGCAAUUAAGGGA